UGGUGGGGUAGCGAAGUGGCUAAACGCGGCGGACUGUAAAUCCGCUCUCUCCGAGUUCGGCGGUUCGAAUCCGUCCCCCACCACCAC
rnacentral:tRNA from 1 species